UGGAUUAUAAAUUAGCAUGUUUUGUUAGUACUUUGAGAAGUGAACUAGGGUGGUCAUGGCUUCUAAGAGGUGCUCGCUUAUUUGGGUGGUUCUCUUUCUUUGUGUGUUGAGUUUCUCUGCCAAAAACACAAAAGCAUUAGCAAGGAACAUUAAUGCUGCAAGUACUUCUGAACUUUUUGCAGUUUCGGAUGAAAUGGGUCCAUGUAGGAAGCUAAUUGGCACACAACAGCGACCACCAUGCAAGCCUACAAAAGAUAAACCACGUUGCUACAAUUUUCUGUGAUCUGGGAUGUGUUGUGUAUUGCAAUUGAACUGAUGAAAAAUGAGAGAGAAUAAAUGGAACUGUUUAUUGGAUUAGAUUAA